AAGACCGGCUCUUCCGACGAGGAAACACUCCUGUUCUUUCCUGGCAGCUGAGGUUCCGAAUUGCAGCUGAAAUAGGAACUGGAUUGAUGUUCCUACACCAAACAAAACCAGAACCACUGGUGCAUCGCGAUCUGAAGCCUGCCAACAUCUUGCUUGACCGCAACUUUGUGAGCAAGAUUAGUGACGUUGGGUUGGCGAGGCUAGUGCCACCAUCGGUG
rnacentral:misc_RNA from 1 species